GACAGUUAUUUGUUAUGUAUUCCUGUCUGGCCUGGUACUCAUUAUAUAGCCAAGGCUAGCCUCAAACUCAUGGCAGUUAUCCUGUCUUAGCCUC
ensembl:miRNA